UCCGGAAUGAGGGUAGUUUUACUACUCGGGGUAAAAGAGAGGCAAGACUGCACAGGCCACGAACUUAUCAAUCACCCCUGCUAUGGACCACUUCUGGAGGUCCAAGACACCGACUUCUACAAAGAAGGGAUCCGGAUGCUCCACGACCGCUGGACUAACGGGCCAUCUUUCUCUAUUCUUCCACAAAGCAUCCUGACCAGGAUCCACUGUGAUACCUUGGACUUCGUUUUGUUGUCUACCUCAUUCUUCCAACUCCAAUGUAUCAAGCUUAGCUUGUCCAACCUUCCUUCUUGAGACAAAUCAUGCUACUGGAAGAAACCUUUCUUCCUGAAGAAGAUGGCACAGAGAACAAUGCAACGUCUGCCAGACGGUUCAAUAAACUACUUCUUUCAUUUAUGUCUUCUUUUUCUCUCAAUUGUGAUUCUGCUGCUGUUGGAGCCUGUGAUCUAUAUUUUGUUGUUGUGUUUUUGGGCUGAUUGAAUGAGCUGGCAUUUUGCUGUCUCCAACAGUGUUUCAUGAGGUUUCAAGCAAAUCAUGAGGCCUCAAGGCCAGGAAGUCUGGAGAUGGGAUAUGGGCCCAUGAAUGACUCCAUUUCUCACUGAUCUCACCAAAGAAAGCAUCGAGGAAGAUUAAAAUAAUUGAGCCGAGAGCAGAACGCAAGCAGCUCUUAAGCACUAUCUACUAUCUACUGCCAGAAGAACGAGUCUGCGUAUGAUGGACUCUCUUUCCCUCUCAUCCACUGCUCCCAGAGCAGGUUCCCUGUGGUUGAAUGGUCUAUCUCUCUCCCUCUUAGUCGAUGCUGCCGGGGAAUUGUGCCGGAGUCCUGGGCUUUGGUCAAAGUUUAAUCAAUGUGCUUUGCCGACUGGACUCUGUAAUCACUUCUCUGUAGUUCAAGACGUGUUUCUGGUUUCUGGUCUCUCCUUUUUUUGUUGCUUUUUGGGGCAAUUUUGAUCAGGA